CAAACUGAUACCCAAAACAAACAUUUGAUAGAUACUCUAUGCGUGGAACUACAACAGUCACAUCUCACAGCCAAAAAAUUAGGAAAAUUAGAUCCUAAACUUCAAGUUUUUUAUCCUCAAUGUCUAGACUAUGGUGGUGAUUCGAACAGUCAAGCAGUGUACACCAGCAAUAUGGCAAUGCGACAAAGUCUUUCAAAUUUAGCUACAGACAAAGUUCGCUCCGCACUAAGUUCUUUGUUGAAGAAUGCUAAUUUACCUGCUCUCGUUCCGAAUGGCAAUGCAGGUGGUUUCUGAGCUGCUGGAGUUGGCUUUUGCUGAUCGGAAGAAGAACCUUUGCAAGUCAUCAUGUCAGCGGAUCAUAUUAUCACUCAGAAUCUCUGUGUUGAUGAAACUGGAUGUGCUGAUCGGUGUCGUGUUGCUGAAAAUUCGUUGCUCACUGUUGCCAAAGAACGCUCUCUUCUUGACACAAAGUGUUCUGAAUUACAAAAAGCUUUAUUGAGUGAGAAGGCAAAGAAAUGUUCUCAGUGCUCAGACCUUCAAUUUCAGGUGGCUUCCCUCAAAGAAGAGCUAGCAGAAAAGACAAAACCUUGCUCUCAAUGUAAACAACUGCAUAUUAAACUCCGGAACAAUAAAAAAUUUUAUCAAGAGAAACAAGAAAAAUGGAGACUUGCCUUUAAUAAUUUCCUUGAAUCUCGUCUUUUCUCUGAAGAAAAAUGCAACACUGCCAUGAGCUAUGUGUCUCAAAUGAUACCAUUUGAUGAAGAUGAAGCUGAAGGUAGCAUUGAUAGCAAAAGUGUUCUCCAACAAAAGACUACUGUUGAUACACCGAAACGAAAGUCUCCUUGUUCUGACGUAGAAUUGAAUCCUGGGAGUAGGAAGCGUAAAUCUCCCUGCAUUGAGACAGGAGAAUCAAUGGAAUCAUCUGUGUCCCAUCUGCCGCAAAAAACUGUUGAAACAAAAGGAAGAAAUGAAGAAGAUUCAAAAUUCACAAGUAAACCUUCCAGUAGCAAGAAGGUGCCAGUGAAGAAACCUGAAGUUAAAAUAGAGCCACAAGGUUUGAAUAAGUAUAAUAUUAUCGUGCCCGAAACACUGCCCAGUGAGCCAAUCUGUCCAGUUGUGGAGAAGAAAAGAAUUAUCAUUCCUGAGACUUUAUAUCCAGAAGAUGAUUUUGUGGAACCGAUGUCUGAGGAGCAUAAAACACCCAAAAAAGAGCCAACAAACGGUGAAGAAGAUGACAGCCCUGUUCUGAGUGUAUCAAAAAAACCUGGAAAACCAUUGAUCAGUGCACCGGCUGAGGAACUCAAAGUCAAAGAAGAAGAGCUCGAAACUGUAGAGAAUGAGCAAAUAUCUCCGUUAACAGCUCAUCCUAAAAGUCCCUCAGUGCUGGCCGUCGAAGAGAAUCCAUCAAUUCACCCUCUUCUUGAAUCCAAAGAUCGAAAAGUGUUGGAUGAGUUCUUUGAUGAAAUCGAAAAAAAUGCUGGUAACUCGAGGAGAAGCAAGACUUUUAGCAAAGACAACUCAAAAGUCUCGAGCACUGAAAAGUCUAAGGAUAAAACUGAUAUGAUAACUCCUCAGAAAAAGUUAGCACUUGGAGAACAAAGCCGCACUGAAAAGUCUAAGGCUAAAACUGAUAUUAUAACUCCUCAGAAGAAAUUAGCACUCGGAGAAAAAAAUGUCUGGUCUUUACACAAGCCUCCUGGUUUUGAUCAAAAGAAAAAAGAGGAAAAAAUGUGCCCCAAGAAAAUGAAGCAAACAACUUUAUCUGUUGUCACAGUACCUAAGAAUCAGGACGUUUCGCAUAAUGAUAGUUUCAAUGGUGGCGUACUGGCUGAAGUUAUGAAUGAUGAAAACGAUGACUCUGAUGAUAGUGAGUGUUUGAUUUUACCAAGUCCGAAGAAUGACACUCGCAAUUCGUCUAGAUGUGAAAGCAAAAAAUUGAAAGCUGAAAGCAUUGUCAUCGAGCAGAGAACUGGAACAUUAGCUAGUCUUGAAGAGACUUAUUAUUUUGCUCCGCCAGUUACAAGCACAUGUCUCUCUCUCUCAAAACGGAACAAGCCUGAAAAUGAGGAGAAAUCAGAACAAAAAUCUGGGAAAGACAGGAGCAAGAUUCAGAAUUUAGACACAAGUUAUGACCAUGUACCCAGAAAAAACCAAUAG
rnacentral:lncRNA from 1 species